CCCCUCUGGCCGUUGCCUUGGCGCCACGGGACGCACCUGUGCACUGCCGCAUCCAGUCCCGCCUCUCCAGUGUAACCCAGGGAGGCAGCGGUCACUGAUGGCCCGGCUUCCUGCUGAUGUGCACACAGGGAGGCAGCGGCUGAACAAACAGCUGGAUCCCUGACACCCCGGUAGGAAACCUGAGCUGAGUUCCUGGUUUGGAGCUUCAUCCUGGUCCAGCCCUGCUGCUCUAGGCAUGUGGGAGAGGAGACAGUGGAUGGGACAGAACUGAGGUCCCCACUGCUUUGUAUGAAGUGGUAGCCGACCCCGAACAACAACUGGUGAGUUUUCAUUCCUGUCACCAUCUCUCUGUUGUUACAAAGCCUCCUGCUGGACACCGGGGCAGUUCACUGGCGGGAAAAGUCAAAGGUACUCAGAUAAGGACUGGCGGUCACACCGGAAAGAAGUGGGGGAGAGGAGGGCGCCUCCGCACCGGCUGAAUGUCUGGAUGUGUUUGUGAACAUACAUUCAGCUCACUUGGCUAGAUGGACGAGCUGAAAUACAAGCCGACUUGAAACCAAGCCCAGUCCCUGAUGCCUUUGAUGUAGACUUUAUCUGGCGGGCCCUGGGUUCUCUCCCCUGGUUUGCGGUUCUUUCUCUACUAUGAAACCUACAAGUCAGCUCCUUACUAAAGAUGAACUCGCUACACUAAGGCUCCUACCAGACUCCAGAUCACAUGACUGAAGGCAACUAUCACCCCUGCUGGGAACGUCUUAGCGCCAGUCUCCAAGUUGAGAUGCUUCACAGGAACCCCAGGUUCUGGUCAAACUCAAGUUUUAAUCAUCUACUCAUAGACCGCUCACCCCACCCCCCAAGGCAGGCUGGAGCCUGCUUUGCCAUCACAACGUUCUCGGAUGAGCGUGCCAGCCUCCCGUCACUGACCAACCAAAGGCAGGCCAGGAGCACGGGCCUCAACCAGAGACCAGCGCACGGCUCAGCCCUGACUUUAAUCUACAAGAUUCACUGCGCUUAAUCCCUGAGGAGUCCAGAGAUUGAGCAACAGCCACCCGGCUUCUUGCCCUGCACGUUGCAAAAUGAGCGCCUACUCUCUUCCGCCACCCACGUGUCAGUGAUGGGCCUGCUGCAGGACAACACGUGGGCUAAGGAUUUGAGGGGUUCUACAGCAAACUGUUGGAAAAAAAUAGGCAUGUGAGUGGCAGGGAUCCAAGUGCUUGGGCCUCCCAGGAUGCGUAGCAACAGGAGAAGUCAUGGGGGAAGCAGAGGAGCCAGGACCCGAUCCAGGCACACACCCCUAUGGGAUGCAGGUGUCCCGGG